GAUGAACGCUGGCGACGUGCCUAAUACAUGCAAGUCGAGCGAACAGACGAGGAGCUUGCUCCUCUGACGUUAGCGGCGGACGGGUGAGUAACACGUGGAUAACCUACCUAUAAGACUGGGAUAACUUCGGGAAACCGGAGCUAAUACCGGAUAAUAUAUUGAACCGCAUGGUUCAAUAGUGAAAGACGGUUUUGCUGUCACUUAUAGAUGUAUCCGCUCCGCAUUAGCUAGUUGGUAAGGUAACGGCUUACAAAGGCAACGAUGCGUAGCCGACCUGAGAGGGUGUUCGGCCACACUGGAACUGAGACACGGUCCAGACUCCUACGGGAGGCAGCAGUAGGGAAUCUUCCGCAAUGGGCGAAAGCUUGACGGAGCAACGCCGCGUGAGUGAUGAAGGUCUUCGGAUCGUAAAACUCUGUUAUUAGGGAAGAACAAAUGUGUAAGUAACUAUGCACGUCUUGACGGUACCUAAUCAGAAAGCCACGGCUAACUACGUG
rnacentral:rRNA from 1 species